rnacentral:lncRNA from 1 species
CUGGUUCUUGGCUGCGUCGCCGAUCAAACGCUCGGUGUCGGUGAAGGCGACAUAGGAAGGGGUGGUUCUGUUGCCCUGGUCAUUGGCUAUGAUCUCAACGCGGUCGUUCUGCCACACCCCGACGCAGCUGUAGGUGGUACCGAGGUCGAUGCCGAUGGCCUUACCUUGCGUCUUUGAAGCCAUGGACAAUAAAUCAGUAAGAAACUAUAGAAUAAUUGGUUUGAGAAAACAAUGAAAAAGGAAGCAAAAUCUGGUUGCUCUGGAAAUUUGAAUAUGUGGUUGGCUGAAAUGCUUUUGGUUUGAUGGUGAGGUGGGGUUUGGGGGUUCGAAUAUAUAUGGGUGAGUAAGGUUCUUGGAGGGCUUCAUUGGAGGGGAAGAGAAGGUGGUGGAAGGGACUAGGAGGUUGUGAGAAGAAAUCAGUGGGAGAAUUAGAACGUCGAAGGUCACACGAGAGACUUCUGGAGAGUGGUUGAAUUUUUAUGGAGUGGCUGAGUUGGCUUGUUUGCUUUUUAUCUCGUUGGGUGAUGGGCUUGGGCUCGUAUGUAUUCUUAUUUACUCUUAGGGCGGUUGGGUUUCUAAUUUUUCCCUCUCUUUUUCUUUUUGAAGGAACAAAAGCAAGGAAAUUUCCGGUGGUUUUUUAUUUUUAAUUUUAUUUUUAUUUAUUUAUGAGAGAUUCAAUGUUCAGAACAUAAAAGGAUACACUAGGUGUCAUGAUAUAAUUGGUGGGAUAUUUGAAAAAUAUAUCCUCAGAUGGUACGUAUCAACUAUUUUGUUCAUUAACUACUUUGGGUGAAGUUAAUGAAUACUCUUAAUUAAAAGAGUUACAACUACUUAGAGCACUUCCAGUGUUGCUAGGCUUCCCCAGCAUACAGACAACCAAUCCCUUUAUUGUGGUAAUUAUAUUUUUUAUAUUUUUUUAUUAAUAUUUUAUAAUUUUUUUAUUAGUGGCUAAUGUCAACCUUGUGUCACAUCCCUUAAGUGCUGUGCUCGUAGAUUUCUACCUGGUGGAGAGCCCAAGCUCACCUGGAGCCCAAGCUAUAUGAAUGGGCUAGAGCCAAUUGUUGGGGGCAUUGGGUCAUUCAACAACCAAUUCCCAAGAGAACUGCUACACGUUAGAAAUGCUCUUACAACUCUCUUGCAACGAUGUUUUUUGUUUUUGGCAAGUACCGUGGUCUAUGUGUUCGAAAAUAUUAGUAUUUUAGCUCUAUAUAAUUAUUUGAGUAUUUUUGUUAGUUUAGGAUUUUGACCUAGUAUGCUGGAAUUUGUGAUUUGUUAUGGAAAUCUCAUCUGUAUAGAGACGGGAAGUAAUCAAAUGCUAUUCUUUAUAAACCCUAACAUCAACAUAUAUGUUUUGUCUGUUUUGACUUUGUUUGCCUCUAAAUCUGCAUGGUUUUAGUAUCCGAAAAUCUACAAUCUUCAACGGCAAUCUGCAUCUGGAUUUCUGUUGGCAAACUUGUGUAUUUGUUAGAUUAUAAGGGUUAGUCUCUUACGAGGAUAACAAAUAAUACAAUGAGUUCUUUGUGGUCAUACAAGUACAUGUUGUCUUACUGAAGAGACACCAGAUUUGCUCGAAAUCUUCAAGCAUACUUAUUGCAAAGGCCAAAUCUGGUCUUGGGCAUACAUUAGACUCCCAACAAUUGAAGCAUAAGGUAUGUUUGACAUUCCUUGCAUUUCUAUCUCAUUAUUAGGACAUUGAGACUUGUUUUACUUUUCUCCCUUGCUCAUUGGAACCUCUCCUUUCGAACAGCUAUGCAUGUUAAACCUUUUUAACACUUUUUCAAUGUGAGUCUUCUGAGAAGGACCCAAAAGACAUCUCUUCCUAGAACAAAAAUAGCCUCACCCAUGUCCUUCAUUUCGAAGGGUUUUGACAGUAAUUUCUUUGUCUCCAGUGACAGAUUGAGAUCAUUACUUGCCAACAAAAUGUCAGCAACGUACAGUAUUAAAAAUAAAUAAAACUUGAGCACCAUACCUUGAGGUACAAGCAAUUGUCAAUUUUGCUUUCUAAGAAGCCAAAACUUGUCACUUUCUCAUCAAAUUUUAAAAAUCAUUGUCUUGAGGCUUGCUUCAACCCAUAGAUCAACUUUCUUAGUUUGCAAACCAUUUGUUCUCACCCCAUUUCAGCAAAUCCAGGUGGUUGGACCAUGUCAAUAUCUUCAUCUAAAACUCCAUUAAGGAAUGCAGUUUUUACGUCCAUUUGGUGAAGUUUGAGGUCAUAAUGAGCAACCAAAGCAAUGAUGAUUCUUAGUGAAUCUUUGGAAGACACUAGUGAAAAUGUAUCGGAGUAAUCCAAUCCUUCUCUUUGAGUAUACCCUUUGACAACUGAUCUUGCCUUAUAUCUCUCAACCUUCCCUGUGAGGGCUUCUUUUGAAAACCCACUUACACCUUAUGGGUUUGACAGACUCAUUUGAUUCCGCCAAUUCCCAUACUUCAUUGGAAUACAUAGAAUCCAUCUCUUCUUGCAUGGCCAUUCUCCACCGCUCAGCCUUCUCACUUGCCAAGGAAUACAUAGAAUCCAUCUCUUCUUGCAUGACCAUUCUCCACCGCUCAGCCUUCUCACUUGCCAUUGCUUGCUUGAAAGUAAUUGGAUCAUUUUCAAUACCUUCUAUAUGUUCAGUUUCAUUUGCACUUCCUUGCUAAAAAAUAACUGAAUCAUCAUCAUCUCCCUGGAGUUGCUCACUUUCUCCCACGUAUUCCACGAAAUCACCUGAAAUUGGUGAUUUCCUGAUUCACUAAGACUGCCUCCUUGAUAUUGGAAUAGCUUGCAUGGUUGCUGAACGCUGAUAGAUUCCAACAUUGUCUUGCGGCUGCACGUUGGGGCUGCUGGCAUGGUUGCUGCAUGCUGGAAAUUGGUGAUUUCCUCAAUCUCACUUGGAACCAUGGUGUCAUUUGACUGGUCUUGUACUUCCAGCGUCCCAAAAUCAAUGUUUUUGAAAGGCAUCGCCUUAGGGUGAGAGAACGAAGAUGAUACCACUGCCUCAAUUUCUCCAAACACAAAAUCUCGAGACACUUCAUCACUCAGAUUCUUCCACCUCCAUAAACCUGGCAUUAGUAGUUUCAAAUAUCCUUGUAUUCAAAGUGUGAAAAAUUUGUACCCCUUGGAUCUCUCUGGAAAACCAAUAAAAUUGCAACUUAUUCUUCUGCUUCUGCCUUGCAACCCCACUCGUGAAGGUGAUUCAAACUUGGCUUCCUUGAAGUCAAAACCUCAAAAUGAGUAUUGUUCACUGAUUUACUUUGAGACUAUUGGAUAAGUAAUUAGCCACCUUGAGUGCCUCUCCCCACAAAAACGUUCGAAGGUUGGUUCUGCUCAUCAUACACCUUACCAUUUCUUUCAAUAUCCUAUUCCUUCUCUCGGCUACACCAUUUUGUGGUGAUGUUCCGGGAGUGGGAUAUUCAGCCUAAAUCCCAUUUUCUUCCUAAAAUUUAGGUAUUGCACCCUUUCGUUGUCCGUCAUCAGUAUAUCUGCGAUAAUAGUCCCCUCCAUGGUCUGACCUCAAGAUUUUAAUUGACAUUUCAAGUUGCUUUUCCACUUCAUUUUUAAAUGGUUUUAAAACAACUAAACACUUGAAUUUUCUCAAAUAUUAGAUAAACAUAUGUAUAUCUAGAAAAAUCAUCAAUGAAUUUCUCAAAGUAAAUUUUUUUGCAAAUCGUUUGGAUACGAAAAGGGUUACAAACAUCUAAGUGUAUAAUUUCUAGAAGCUUUUGACUUCAAGAUUCAAACGAUCCUUUUCGUAUCCACUUAGAUGUUUGUAACCCUUUUGGCUUCAAGAUUCAAACGAUCCUUCCUUCCUUUCUAGGUUGCAGGGGGUGGGGGAGGGGAUGAAUUUUUUUUUUCUUUCUUCCUUCUUCUUCCUCUUCUUCUUCUUCUUCUUCUUCCUUUCUGGGUUGCAGGGGGUGGGGGGGAAAAAUACUUUUUUUUUCUUCCUUCCUUCUUCUUCCUCCUCCUCCUCUUCUUCUUCUUCUUCUUCCCCCCCUUCUCUCUCUUCUCCCCAUCAUCAUCUUUUUCCCUCUUCCUGCAACUGCAACCCAGAAAAAAGAAGAGAGAAAAAAAAAAACCAAUUUGUCUUCCCCCCUCCCCACCCCCUCUUCUCCCGCACCCACUCACCGCACCCAACCUCGCACCCACUACCUGCAACAAAAAAAAAAAAAAACCCAGAUCCCGUUGAGGUGGAAUCGGGAAACCUUUGCCAGGCCGAUUUCGAAGGUUGAGAACCUGGGCAUUGAGAAAAUGGGGGAAAUGGGUGUGAAGGGAAGAGGGUGGGUGCGGCGGGGGACAGACGAACUGGGUUUUUUUUUUUGUUCUUCUCUCUACCUCUGUCAGGGGGGAGAACUGGGUUGGGUUGGGGUUUUUUUUUGUUUUUUGUUUUUUUUUUUCCUUCCUCCUCCUUUUGUUCUUUCUGGGUUGCAGGAAGAUGGGGGGGAGAGAGAGAGGGGAGAAGGACGAACUGACCUUAGGUUUUUUUUUUAAACUUUUUUUAUUAUUUUAAUAUUUAAAAAAUAUUAAAUAAUUUUUUUUAGUUUUUAAUAAUAUUUUAAUAAUUUUUUAAUAGAAAAUGGGUCCCAGAUCAAGCCACAUUAGCAUUUAAUUGAGAAAUUCACUCCAACCCUAACGAAAGGUAUAACAUGGCACAAAUUCAUAAGAUGAGGUAUGACAUUGUCAAUUUUUAAAGAUGAGGUAUGAAAGUGUUGUGACACCAAUAGUUGAGGUAGUUUUUUGUACUUUACCUUUUUUUUUAAUUAUUUCUCUUAUAUUAAUUUAAUUAUAUUAAUUGUUUACGCAAUGAAAUAUUUGGUAGCACAAGAUUUUUUCGAAUUUUUACUUUUUUAAUUUAAUUUAAUUGUAUGAUUUUAUUUUUUUAAUUACUUUAAUUUAAAUUGACAUAUGAAAAAUAGUGAUCAAAUUAUCCAAUAUAUAUAAUAUAUUCAAAUGCACACAUAAAUUAACAAAGUACAAUAAUAAAAUCUUAAUACAAGUCUAUUGUGGUGGUGGAAAUGUUUCGAUAGCGUCCUAAUCCUCAACUUUAGCCAUCAAAGUCUUGACAAUUCCCUACAAAAAAAAAAAAACAAAUAUGGUCAAAUAACAAAAAAAAAAAAAUAAUAAUAAUACCAAAAAAUUGGCAUAAUCUUCCCUAAAUUUGGUACACCUCAAACCCCACUCCUCACCCUAUACUCAACCCCAAACCCUGCACCAAACUCAAAACUAACUCCAAGAACACAUAUUAAUGAAAAAAAAAUUAAAAUUUGGGGAGAAUAUACCUUUUGGCAAGAUUGAGAGUGAGUGAGAAUGAGAGGGAGGAGUGAGUGUGAGAGAAUUAGAGGAGAUAGUGAGAGAGAGAGAUGAGAGAUUGAGUGAGAGUGAGAGAUAAUGAAGAGAGAGAAGAGAGAUUAAGUGAGAGGAGCGAGUGUUAGAGAGAGGGUCGGAUUUGGGGAGAGGGAAAGAGAGAUGAGAGGUAAGAGUAGAGAAAGACAUUGAGAAAACGGUGGAUAAGUUAUUUUGGUUUUAAAAACCGUUCGCGACGAAAUAUUGGUCUUGCAAAGUCUUAAAUUUUUUUUUUUUAAAUUUCCCAAAUCCUAUUUUUGGUGCCCACUAGAGGUGGGUUCGAUUCUGUUCGGUUCGGUUUUUGGCCGAAAUCGAAAACCAAACCGAAAUUACUGUUUGGUUUGGUUCGGUUAGGUUUUUCCAUGAAUUUGUUUUUUUUUUUUAAAUCUAGAGGUAGAAGAACCCAGAAGAGCAAAGGAGGAAUUGUUGCCAUCUUGGUCUGUCAGAGAGCGAAAUCCCAAUAAGGAACCGUGCUUGCUCUUCGUUCAUCAUCAAUUUCAAUUGGUUUUCUUUUCUCACAAAGAAAUCAUCAAACAAUAAUUAUAAAGAAAAUCUAAAGGAAAUCUGCUACCAACAAAUCAUCAAACAAUAAUUAUAAAGAAAUAUGUUCUUGCUUUGUUCCUGAGAUCCCUCUCUUGCAUUAGGAAUAAAGAUGGUGGAUUGGGGGCAGCUUCCUCUCCUUGAUGCCAAAUUGAAAGAUUAUAAUAUGCAAAACCCCAACAAAAUAAUUAAAAGAAAAACCCAUUUUAAUUCAGCAAAAUCACAAUAUAAAUUAUAUUCGUUUUGAUUCGAAAAUUACUUGUGAAAGAUCGGAAAAUCCGGAUUAGAAUCUUCCAAUUUAUAUGGGUUCCGAUUCGAAGAGGGCGAGUGAAAAUCAUAGUUUGGAAGAUGGAAUCUGCGAGGAGGAUAGGAGAAGAUUGAAGAGAAAGUGAUUUGGAGGAAGAGAGAAAGGAGAGAGAGACUGAGGAAUAGAGGAAGCAUAGACGAAGAAAGUAGCGGAGGGGAGAGAGAGAGUGUAGAAGAAAAGUGAAAGCUAAAAUGGAAGUCGGCUAGGGUUUGUAAACUUUAAAAUUUUUAUAAAGCAUAAAGAUUAGAAUACCUAUAAAUAACUUAGUUGUACAAUUAUCGUAUCAUAAAGCCAACAACAAGUUGGUUUGAAGCAACUAUCAGAACCUAGAGGGAAGGGGUUUGAAUCCUCAAGCCACCAGGUUUUGAGGUAUUUGUAUAUGAUUUUCAUAUAUCGAUUUGGUUCAGUCCGGUUCUAUUUCUAGACCUCAAAAACCAAAACUAAACCAACCAGAUUCGGUUCGGUUAUGUUAGACAGCUUCGGUUCGAUUUUUUUCUGUCUCGGUUCGAUUUUCAAUCCGAUUUUUUUUUGGUUUUCGGUUUUUCCAACCUACCCCUAGUGCCUGCCCAAAUUUUUAGAGUUUUGCACAACGAAAAAUUGAUCACGCAAAGUCUCAAAAAAAAUUUAAAAAAAAAAAAUCCCGCGUCCCAUUUUUGGCUCCCGUCCAAAUUUAAGGAUUUUGCACUACGAAAUAUUGGUCGCGCAAAGUCUAAAAAAAAAUUCUGCGUCCCAUUUUUGGUGCUCGCCCAAAUUUUGAGAGUUUUGCACGAUGAAGCGUUGGUCGCGCAAAGUCUUAAAAUAUAUAUAUAUAUAUAUAUAUAUAUAUAUAUUUUUUUUUUUUUAAAAUUUCCGCGUCCCAUUUUUGGCUCCCAUCCAAAUUUAAGGAUUUUGCACGACGAAAUAUUGGUUUGUCGCACAAAAUGUAUAAAAAUAAUUUUUAUAAAUAAUAAAAAAAUAAUUUAAUUUAACAAUAUAAAAUAUAAAAAUAAAUAAAUAAUAAGUAAAUAUUGGUUAGGCGACAAAAUAUUGAUUUUAGUCGCGCAAAGUUAAAAAUAAAAAAAAAAAUUUAUGAAAACAACUAUAUUUUAAAAUUUAUAAUAUAAAAUUAAAUAAAAAACAAAAAUAAAUUGGUUUGCGGGACGCAUGUAUACAUGAUGACGUUGUGCUAUUGGUUUUUGCAUAACAACCCCAUUAUGGCGUCGCACAAGUUAUAUUUAAAAAAAAAAUAUUAUAAAGUUUACUGAAAUAUGACUUUACUCCCUUCAAAUUCAAAUUUUUUUACAUAAAACCCACAACAAUAUAUUUUCUAACAAAAAUCCAAUCCGAACUACAAUAAUAAAUUUAAAACUACUUAAUAAAUAUAUAUACUAUUCAAUUUUUUAAGUGUUAUACAUACAAAAUAAAUAAAUUUAAAGCUACUUAAUAUAUAUACACACACACCAUUCAACGAUCCAACCGUCAAACUUGUUUGUAUAUACUUCGAGAUCGUAUACACCAAAAAUCACAAAAAGCAAAUAUUCAAAGAUCAAGUAACGGGACAAAACUUUUCAACAGUUAUAAACGAAAAAUCAUGAUUUAACGGUUAUUUUAACUCCGAUUUUGAUGUUUUUUAUAGCUACACUCCUUGAUCCUAUAUGAAUACAAUGAAUGAAUUCGAUCUUCAAUUUAAAAUAUUUACACUAGUGUAUGUUAUACUUAAUGAAAGUAUAAAUAAACCAAGUGUUAGUGAAUCUAUUGUUUUGAUGAGAUACGCAUUCUACAAAACUAGUUUCAACGAUUCAACCGUCAAACUUGUUUCGAGAUCGCAUACGCCAAAAAUCACAAAAAAAAAACAUUCAGAUAUCAAGUAACGAGACAAAACUUUUCAAUGGUUAUAAACGAAAAAUCACGAUUUAAUGGUUAUUUCAACUCCAAUUUUGAUAAUUUUUUACAGCUACACUCCUUGACCCUAUACGAAUACAAUGACUAAAUUCGAUCUUCAAUUUAAAAUAUUUACACUAUUUUAUGUUAUACUUAAUGAAAGUAUAAAUAAACUCUAAGUGUUAGUGAAUCUAUUGUUUUGAUGGGAUACGCAUUCUACGAAAUUAGUUUCAACGAUCCAACCAUCAAACUUUUUUGUAUAUACUUCGAGAUCGCAUACGCUAAAAAUCACAAAAAAACAAACAUUCACAGAUCAAGUAACGGGACAAAACUUUUCAACGGUUAUAAACGAAAAAUCACGAUUUAACGGUUACUUUAACUCCGAUUUUGAUGAUUUUUUACAGCUACACUCCUUGACCCUAUAUGAAUACAAUGAUUGAAUUUGAUUUUCAAUUUAAAAUAUUUACACUAGUGUUAUGUUAUACUUAAUGAAAGUAUAAAUAAACUCUUAAGUGUUAGUGAAUUUUUUGUUUUGAUGGGAUACGCAUUCUACAAAACUAGUUUCAACAAUCCAACCAUCAAACUUUUUUAUAUAUACUUCGAGAUCGCAUACGCUAAAAAUCACAAAAAACAAACAUUCAAAGAUCAAGUAACGGGACAAAACUUUUCAACGGUUAUAAACGACAAAUCAUGAUUUAACGGUUACUUUAAUUCCGAUUUUGAUGAUUUUUUACAGCUACACUCCUUGACCCUAUAUGAAUACAAUGACUGAAUUUGAUUUUCAAUUUAAAAUAUUUACACUAGUGUUAUGUUAUACUUAAUGAAAGUAUAAAUAAACUCUAAGUGUUAGUGAAUUUUUUGUUUUGAUGGGAUACGCAUUCUACAAAACUAGUUUCAACGAUCCAACCAUCAAACUUUUUUGUAUAUACUUCGAGAUCUCAUACGCCAAAAACCACAAAAAAACAAACAUUCACAGAUCAAGUAACAAGACAAAACUUUUCGAUAGUUCUAAAUGAAAAAUCACGAUUUAAUGGUUAUUUUAACUCCGAUUUUGAUGAUUUUUUACAGCUACACUCCUUGACCCUAUAUGAAUACAAUGAACUAAUUCAAUCGUCAAUUUAAAAUAUAUUUUUCUAACAAAAACCCGAUCCGAACUACAAUAAUAUAUUUUUCUAACAAAAACCCGAUCCAAACUACAAUAAUAAAUUUAAAGCUACUUAAUAAAUAUUUAUACCAUUCAAUUUCUAAUGUGUUAUACGUAUAAAAUAAAUAAUUUUAAAGCUACUUAAUAUAUAUAUAUAUAUAUAUAUAUUAUUCAAUUUUGCAAGUUUAUAUUAAUCAUCAUCCGAACUACAAUAAUAAUUCUCGCUAUCCUCACUACUUAAUAAAUAUAUAUACCAUUCAAAUAGUCUUUGCACAACGGUGAACCAGAACGUAGCUCAAAGGCCAUUUGCACGACGUGGUUGGUCCGUCGUGCAAUUUUUUGGUGCCAAAUCAAGGCUUUUACCGUUUUUUUUCUUCAACAUUUGCGCAACGCGGUUGGUCCAUCUCGCUCAAUUUUCUGGCGCCAAACCAAAACUUCAUAAUAAAAACUUAUGAAAAUAACUAUAUUUUAAAAUUUAUAAUAUAAACUUAAAUUAAAAAAACAAAAAUAAAUUGGUUUAGGUGACUAAAUAUUUGGAUUACAUCGCGCAAAUAUUUAAAUUUUAUUUUAUUUUUGUAAAGAAUUUGCACGAAAUUGAAAGUUUUGUCGUGCAAAGUGACUUUGCGCAACAAUAUGUGUUUCGUCAAGCAAAAUGUUUUUUGUAGUAGUGAAACCGACUCUUUCAGUUGUCCAUUUCUUGCGUUUUUCACAAUCUCUCUUCAAAUGACCAUAGCCUUUGCAAAAAUAACACAUUACAUUUUUCAUGUUUUCCUUAUAACCUUGAGGACCCUUAUAGGAGGAUGGAGUAUCACGCCCCAGCAGAGUGACUAAUGUUUAAAGGGUUUGUUUGGCUUACCAGAGAUCGGGACAUAUUUCUUUGCAGUUUCAGCCUCCACAAAAUUCACAGCUUCAUGUGUUACUUGCUUCAUCCAACUCUCCUCUUGAACAUAUAUUUAUAUGAGUUUCUUAAGGCUACACUUCUUGUUUGGAUUAAAACUUGAUUUUUGGCCCAAAGAUGGAGUUGGCCCAAAAGGAGGCCUGGAGGAAUAGAAGAUCAAGGCCCGGCCGAAACUUGGGAAAGCAGGAAAGGGCAUUUUCUGACUUGAUACAAUUCAUAAGGGCCACUUGCCUACCUACCCAAGGACCAAGUGGUGUAGACUGAUCAGACUGCACAGCCUAUAAAGUACUUUAUGGUGGCAUUACAUGUAAUAAAGCUGAUGAGUCAUCACCCUCAGACCGCAUUCGGGCAAAGCUGUCGCUACAGGAGCCAAACCGAGUCGUCUAUAAAAGGAGGAAGAAAAGACAGGAAUAAGGACACUCAAUCAAACAAACAAAAGCACAAACUCUGCUCAAAAAGCCAGAUUUGCCUUUCAAAAUGAAGCUGUAGUCAGCCCAAGCCUUCAUCCCCCGCGGGAUAAUCUUUUCUCCCAACCUCUGUAAUAGCUCUGCUACCUUGUUCGAACUUGCUGUAGUAUCGAUUCACCUUUUGUAUUCUCCUUUCCCCUCUCCCCCUCUAAGCUUUCAGACCUUUGACAGAACUACAAAGAUAGGGACCUGCAAGACGAUCAGCCUUAAUUGAUAAGGUUUAAUCUUGCCCGACCUGCUUUGCUCUGUCUUUGUCUUCUCUUUCUUUAAAGUCUAGCAAUAUGUUGUAUAUUUCCAGUUAUAUGCAAGUUGUUUCUAGCAAAAUCACGAUGACAAAGCUUUCUCAGUACUUGGAUCCGAUUUGAAUAUAUCUUCAGUGUUUAAAUCAGAUCCAAGUCCUAAGCCCUCAGGCAUGUAAAUCUGAUUAGUUUAAAAGUCCUUGGCCUCAAGGCAUAAAAAAGAACUUUAUGUGGACUUAACCCAUCCACGACAAUCCUUGAUAAACGAGAAGUCCGAAGUUACUUGGGGCGCAAGUAAUCGACCUACCUCUUGGUUUUAUUUCUAUUAUAUCAUGAUUAUCAUAGAACGCUUAAGUAUGCAAUGGAUUCUGAUAGGAAGCCUCAAGGCCUACACCUAAGGCCCCACAAAGGCACUUAUUUGGAUUCAUUCUAUUCUGCGGUCUAGAUGGUUUGAGUAUAAGAACGAACUCUAAUGGGAAGCCUCAAGGCCUACACCUAAGGCCCCACAAAGGCACCUAUUUGGGUUCGCUCUACCUCUCAGACUCGGAUAAUCAGAAAUAUAAUAGUUAUAAGACUCCGACAACCAUAAAGACCAAAUAUAAUAUGCUCAAGUACUGGUUUAGUUUGACAGGAAGCCUCAAGGCCUACACCUAAGGCCCCACAAAGGCACCUGUUAUAUCUAACACGGUUUCUCGGGCAUAUGCAUAUUCACAAACUAAAACUUGACAUCCAUUCGACAUCUGCCAUGCUGAAGAUGGCAGUGGCACGCCUGAGCACUAAAAUGUUAACCUUGAUUGUGAGCCUCAAGGCCUACACCUAAGGCCCCACAAAGGUACCUCUCAAAGUUAACGUUGUCCUUCUCUUUCAGCCUUGCCCGAAGAGUCUUGCCUGACGAGACUUGGCCGACAAAGCCCGACAGGAAAGCAGAAGCCCGACAGCAGCCCUCAACCGGCGCCAAUCUCCCAGGGGAGCUGUGUGCUCGUUGGCCAGGAAGUCAUCCCCGACGGAAAUUCCUGCCACGAACAUUUCUCUUUCGAUGUGUUGUAUGAAGUCUUCAAUUGCUCAUAACUCUCUGGGAGGGAGUUAAGAGCCAUGUGCACGGCAAAUGCAUCCCCAACUGGUACUUCAAAAGAUGUAUAAGUUUUGCAAAUACUGUGCUCUAAUUCAUUAAUCGAACCAUUCACAUGUUGUCUACUUUAAAAGAACUUAUAUGUAUUUUAUAAUUGAUGAAUUACAAUGUCAUGCAAUUAUCAUGCUGGAACAAUAUUAUCAUGAACCCAUUUUGAUGUGGUAUAUGCAAUAAAUUUUCCCAAGAAAUAAUCACACGGUCUUUCUGAGAUCCUUGUUUAUUCUACAAACACACAAGAACACAGUGAUGUAUGGAUAUAAAUUGGAAUAAUCGUAAAAUACCAAUCCAAGUGAGACUAAAAUGGCUCUGUUAUCAAAUGUUAGAUUAUAAUGGGUAGUCUGUUAUGAGGAUUACAAAUAUUACAUUUUUAUUUUUUUUGAGAAACCUAGAUGGUACGAGGAAAAUUUAAUUGAUAACGAAAAAAUAAGUUACACCUAGUCAGAGGGGACAUAAACCUUACCCCUCAGAAAACAAAGACAAAGGAAAGGAAUACAUGAAAAAGAAGGGGGACAUAAACCUUACAUUUCUAGAAACAAAAACAAGAAUGAUACGAACAAAAGAGGGGGAACAUAACACCUAACCCCUCUAAGACCAAACCUAAAGGUUUAAACAUGCAAAACAAGUUGAACAACAUCAUAAAGUUAGGAGAGAUAAAAAAAAAAGUGAGACAAACCUAAUGCUGACAUGCACAUUAAUUUGAGAAGCGGUAGCCAGACAAACCAACAUAGUCUGCAAACACAGUAGCAUGAGCCACCAUCGGAGGAGAAUCAUGUCAUGUUAAAGAUGGAGAAGGCAAGCCCAUUGAUGAGUAGAUUUUAUAUUAUAUAUUUAAUCCUAUUCUUAGUAUAUUUUGGUUAUUAUUUUGGAAGAAUUUUGAUACUUUGAAUUGUAUUUUCAAUAUAGAACUUUCUACUUCCUCUAGAGCAAAACGUAGUCAAAUGGACGAAUUUUGGAGUAAUUCUAGUUGGAGGACAUUCGUGAGUCAGUUAGCUUGAUCAUGUCAAAAUAUCAUAUUUUUCCAUCAGGCGGUUAUUUUAUGGAAAUAGAAUAAAGUAGUAGUGCGCGGUACUGGAAUAGUGAUGUUUUGGGCUUGAAUUACGUUUUUAGAGCCCAAGAUGACCUCAAAUGGGUUCGUGGCCUUCUGGAGAUGUGUUCAGAACGUCCCGCUCUUCAAAACAAGCUAUCAUGGGCCGGAUUUGGAGGAUAUUUGAGACUAAAACGUGGCUGGACAAUUACUUGGCAGAUUUUCCUAGCUUAAUUAAGAUUUUAUUUUCUAAGAUAUUUUAUUAUUAUUCUUAGUUUCCUAGCUGGAAUAAAGGACCUGGUUUUUAGGGUUUGUGCGAUGGCAUAGCAACAUAUAUUGUUUUGCCGUCCACAAUUUUUCACUACGCUUUCUUUUAUGCAACUUUGGAGACAGAGAGAAUUGCUAGGGUUCUUUGAGAUUUUCUACUUUAAGGUGUUUUCAAUCAUUUUCUUAAUAAUAUUUUCUAUGCUUUUAAUUAUGAAUAUGUAUAACUAAUUCCUUUUGCUAGGGCUAAGCCUUGAGCCUUAGCAUGAAUAUGUGAUUUUUAUUUAAUUACUUAUAAUUGAUUGCAUGCACACUUGAAUUUUUAAUCACCGUGAUUAAAACUUGUUGGAAAUGUGCCCUAAAACCAAUCAUAUGAUGAUACUUUACGGACAUUUCAAAUGUUAAACUAAUCUAGUUUAACAUAUAAAGGGCAAAGAUUAUUGUUUGAGCCGUCUCAUAUAAAUGUUAUAUGCUUAAACGAUAAAGUCCAAGGAAUAUGUGAUUGAGAGAAUGCAAUCUAAUGAAGUUAGAUUAAUGAGACCAUUCUUUCGUAGACACAUCCUAAAUGUUCCUGAUCAUAGGAUUACCAAUUGGGCAUUGACAGUCCGUUAAGAUCAGUACGUACUGUGUCUUCUCUCAGGGAGAGUGACUAGUCUCGAGUCAUUGGUGUGUGUGACAUCAAGACAAGUACGUAGGUGCUCAAUAAGAGAAUGAGUUCACUGAACGUGAUCAACGAAGAGUUCUUAUAUUCCAUGUCACAUGAGAACUCAUGGUUGGGAUAAUGCAAAGUAGUCCUUUGACCUGAGGCAUCACAGUUGUCUUGUGGUUAAGUCCUUAAUCUUUGAUUAUGUCUAAUUCACCCCCUCGGGGUGUCACGGCAUCGUUGGGGUUAAAACCACUUAGCUAUGGAGACAAGUGAAUGCGCAACAAGGGAUCUCUAACCUUCAAACAGUUGAGGGAGAAUACUCUAUGAUAUGAUUUGGAAUCUCUGGCCAGAGUAUGAAUGAGAUUGGGGAAUGCGUUCCAAAUCACAUUCAAGGAAAUCAUAUAAGCAAACGAUUCACAUUGGAUAGUAGACAUGAGUAAAUAAACUAUCAUACCAAACAAUGUGGUCAAGAGUAUUAGAUUAGAGAAGGACCGUAUUGCAUUUGUAAUCCCGAACUGAAUAGGUUCUCCACCUCUUCUGAUUAGCUUGGGUAACCAUGAUAUGCUGCUAGGGGUGUCACUCAUGGUUUGUGGAAGCCCUAAACGUGUGUAAUCACUAAAGGGAGAAUUGAAAAUAGUUUCAAUUCACAAUCGAUGUAAAAUGGUUUUAAUCGCCCACUACCUCGCUAAAAGGAACCUAAUGGAUCGCACACCGUAAAAGGUAGAGAUUGGAGAUUAAACGGAAAUGAGUAAGAAUGAUUAAAUGGUUUAAUCAUUUUAAUUAUGGCAAGGAUUAAUUAAUAUGUUAAUUAAUCAAACGAAUAAGUUCGUUAAAGACUUCGGGAUAGUUUUGGACCUUAAGGCCCAAUGGGCUUCGAACGUCAAGCCCAUUAACUUAAAUUGUAUGACAAUUUAAUGAAUAAAGAUUCAUUAAAGCCCAAAAGCCCAAACAUCCCUAAAUGGCCGGCCAUAUUAGAUGAAUUAGGGUUUUGGUUGUUUAGGUUACUUAAAGAAGUGACUAUAUAAAUGACUUUAUAGCCAAAAUUCAUUAAGGAAAAAUUAAGGGUUUAUUUUGGGGAAAAAAUUGGUGAGAAUUGUCUCUCCAUUUUCUCUCUAAAGAGGCCAACACCUUGGAGGGUACAUCUAGCAAUCCUACUACUCCAAGGUCACUCAUUUCUUCUACAAUCAAACCUUGGUGAAGAGACUUAGAGGUUCCCUAUUUUGGGAACUUGGAGAAACCUAUUUUUCCAUCCAAAUCCAUGGAUCUAAGAAGCAAGGAAUGAAGGCCCUAUCUCUUUGGGUGAUUAGCCUUUGCUUAUGCAAAGAGAAAUCUACAAAGGUAAUAAUUUCAACUCACUUUGUUUUGAGUUGAUUAUUGGUUCACCAAUCUACUAGGCUUGAAUUUCAUGGUAAUGUUUUGUUUUUGAGUGCAUGCAAGCAUGAUUCCGCCUUUAAUUGUUAAUUGCAUGCUAUAUGAUGUUGCUCAAAUGAACAUGUUUUUCAAAAUAAUUCCUUCAAAACUAUCUAAUUGUUUUAAUACCUGAUCACCAUUAGGAUCUUUAGACAAGUAAUUUGAUGCAAUUUUGGUCGAAAGGUUCCCUAAAAUUGGUGAUGGCUUCUUGUGAUUAAUAAUUGUAAUUUCACUUAAGAUGAAUAUCACGUCUUAAUGGUUGCAUGGUUUUUCAAAGGCUUUUCAUAAAGCAUAAUGAGUCUCUCAUGUUCAGAUUUGAUUCGAACGUCCGGACGGGUUGCAUGUUAGAUAUAUGUUCUAUGUUGGAGGUUCCAAGUAGAAUAUAAAUUAGGAAAACCUCACCUUCAAUGUGGCAUGUGUAGAUCAUAAGUAAUUGGUAAAAGUUCAUAGGAUUGCUAGGUGAUGGUGGAACCCUAGUGCUUUCUUAAUUUGAUUUCUCCAAAACUGGUUCCUUUUUCUUCAUCUUUAAUGUUGCAUAUUAGUUUAUUUUUAUUAGUUAAAUUCGUUUUUAUUAAAUUAGGUCAUAAAAAUCAAUCAUCUCAAAUUUCUAUUUUACAAUAAUCAAUUGGAAUUUGGUUUGCUUCGAAUUAUUUAAUAAUUCCUGUGGAGAACGACCUUGCAAUAUCUGUUUAUACUACAAUAACCUUGUCAUUCUUGCAAGUAAUAUAGGAGUUUUUAUCCUUACUUUUGUAGGUGGUAAAAAUCCCUAUCACCUAUGUUAGCAAAAUUGUCCGCAACAAGAUUUCCUUUGCUAUAUAUGUGAGAUGUGUAAAAAGUUAUUUACCGAAUGCAAUCCAAACAAAUAAACCAUUGUGUACGAAGAGGCCAAGAAGGAUCAAAAUCAGACGAUUGAAGAGCAAAAAUAAUACUACAAUUGUCACUUUCCAACCAAAGACCAACCAAAGACAAUGUCAACCCCGCUGAUAUGCAAACUCUACACCAAUAAUAAUUGUUGAUAACUCUACAAAAAAAAAAAAAAAAUUGAGAUGACCAAUCCAUUGACAGAAACCUCUAAGAAAACGACCAUGGCAAUUCCUGAAAAAUCCUCUACAAGCAGUAAGACCAGGAUUUCCUUUAGACAAACCAUUUGUAUUAAGCUUAACCCAAGGAAACCAAGGAUGAGACCAAAUGACAAGAAGAAUAGUAGGCGCCUUGCGAGGGAUAGGUCGAAUCCCCAAAGAAGAAAUGGUCCGAGUGUCAAAACCCUGAGAGUAACAGGAAUAAACUUCUCACCAUGAACAAUCGCAUAAUUGAUAGAUAUGCAAAGACGAUGAAAAUAGAUUGGACGACCCUAAAAAAUAAACUUAGUUCAAGCCUUCCAAAUAGCUGAAAUAGUAGAAAGACCUGUAAAAAUCCAUAGAUUGUGCAAUUGUUUGAAAAAGAGCUUACAGACGUAGACAUCCCAAAAAAUAGGAAAAGAAUAUGAAAGAGGCAAAGAGGUACCAAAUUGACAUGCUAACCACCUCCAAAGUUGCCUAGAUAUCCGACAGUCGAAGAAAAGAUGAGCAGUAGAUUCUUUAGAAUUAUGACAUAAACAACAAAUGGAUGCCAAAGAAAUACCAUUGUAGCGCACCCUCUGUAGGAAGUUUAUCAUGAAAAAGCCUCUAGGCCAAUAUAGAUAGUCAUGGCAGAAUAAAAUGUUGCCAAAUAAUUGUAGCCCAAGCACAAUCACUAUGUCUCAUUCGAAUACGGUGAUAACCAGAAGAAAAAAGAAAACUUCCUAGUAAGUGAGGGCUCCCAAAUCAAUUUGUUAUCCUCAAUAUUUAAAGGCAAAGGCAUACGUAAAAUCUGUUGCGCCAUAGAAGGGAAUAAAUUUAUUGAAUAAUCUGGCAAAGAACAACUUUGUGCUUCAAUAAUCUGAAAUCCGAGGAAGAACCUUAGGAGAAAUGACCGAAAAUAAAGAAGGGCUAAUAAAAAGAUGGAAAAGACAAGCCCAUGUUAACAUCUGAAACCCGAGGAAAAACCUUAGGAUUACAAAUAAUACAAUGGGUUCUUUGUGAUCAUACGUAUUUAUAAGUACAUGUUGUCCUACUGAAGAGACAGCAGCAUAAAUAUUAGAGAUUGUAAGGUUAUGCACAACUGGUGUUUCUACAAGUACGUGAAGAUGCCAUUGGAGUUGGGAUGAAUGCACAGGGAAACGCACGAGAGAGGCUUUCCACUCACGCAGUGCCUUAUGCUCAAUACUAGUGAUAGGUGUAGUGAUCAAGUGAAUGUAUAAGCUUGUGUGCUAGGUCUAGUGAUCGACCGUAUAAGCUUGUGAGCAGGAACGUCCCUUUAGCAUAUUCCUAACUGAAUUCCAGCUAUCAGUCAGUGCCCUAAUAAUCUACAUGACUAACAGGUUGUUUAACCACAACCUAAUCACGUCACCCUAAUAUCCUAUAAUCAAGGAAAUCAGUUCUUCCACACGGUUCUUAUCAUGAUCUGAGAGAGUCCAAAUAGAAACCUAAUAAAUCAGUACAUUCUUUGAAAUUUGAGGAAACACGUUUUAAUUUGAUUCUAGAAGACGCUGAAAGAUAAAUCAGUAAUAAUAUUAUACAAACCCUCUCAUAAUUCCUAUGGCUACAGCCUACAGCUCUGCAUUAUUCCGCAUCUACUAACUCAAGAUAACUCAGUAUACAAAGAGCAGAGUUCACAAGCUGUACGUCACUUGGAAACCUCUUCAAGCUUAAUCAACCUCUUCAAUCUUAAGGUCCGGCUCCUGAUCCACCACCACAGCUAGCGUUUCCACCUCCAGGCAUCCGAGCACCACCGCCCAUUGGCACAUCCCCACCAGCACCUUGAUACAUUUUGGUAAUAAUCGUGUUGCACAAUCCCUCCAACUCCUUUUGCUUAUCCUUAAACUCCUCCACCUCAGCCAACUGGUUCCGGUCUAGCCACUCGAUUGCCUCGUCAAUGGCCUUCUCCAUCUUCUGCUUGUCAGCAGGAUCUAAUUUUCCAGCGAUCUUCUCAUCCUUGAUGGCGUUCUGUAUGUUGUAUGCGUAAUUCUCGAGGGAGUUCUUGGCAUCUACCUUCUUCUUCACCUCCUCAUCUUCAGCCUUGUACCUCUCUGCCUCCUGCACCAUUCUCUCAACCUCUUCCUUGCUCAAUCUUCCCUUGUCGUUGGUAUCGUUGGAAAUUAUAUAUUAUAGUAUAAACUAUUGUAAUAUAUAAUUUUAAUAAUUGAAUGAAAAAUAGUGUUAACCAAUUUCUUAGAAAGGUUAUGUUGUUUAGAUGUAUUCCCUUGUUAAGUGAUGUAUACUUAUAGAUGAAAAGUUACAUCUCUUUAUUAGUUGAAGUUGGGUUCUAUAUAAACUCAUGAAACCAUUAUCAUUAAGAUACAGAAAAAUUAGAGUUAAUUUUUACUCUUGAGAAAAUAGGGUUUCCCCACUUUGUUUGUCUCAUGCUUCGUGUGUCAAAUUCCGAGUCGUGUCUUGAGAGUACGAAAUAUAAAGUUCGCCAGAGUCCGAAGAUUGAAGUGCUUUGACUUCGGAUUAUAGAUUGUUGAAUUCUGGAAGAUGGACGCCUAUCGAACUACAAGCACAAGAGUAGGGGCGAAAUUCUGUCUUUAGGACAUUGCAUUUAUGCAAGCCUCAAUUUCCAAGUUUGUCAGUUUUUCUAUCUUUAUCUCUAGUUGUUUAUAUUAAUCUCAUAUAUAAUUGAUGUUGUGAAUUUCUUUAUGAUUAUUAUCAUUGGAAUUAUAUUGUUAUUUUUCAUAUUUUCUAAUAUUGCUCCAACAAUCUAAAGAUAGAAAUUUAUAUCUCUUUGCAAUAAUUAGAAAAAUAUGAAAAAUUCUCAUAAAGCAGUGGCUAGAUAUUGGAAAUAGAAUAUGUUGUGUUUGACGCAAACCCUAGCCCUCUUUGAGAAGGAAGAUCGCUACAUCUAAUGAUGAAAUUGAGGCAUGAAUCCAAUUUCAAUAGAAAGAUUUAAUUUGAUCAUUGGGCUAGAUGAUGGGUUGUAGAUUGUAUAUAUAGUAUACAAAACAACAAAAGAUCGUUCUGGGAAUUAUUGAUGAUAAAUGUCAUACUGCAAUACUUGAAUUAGAAUAAGUCUUGUGAAUUUGGUAGUUACAAUUGCAUACAUUUUUUCUUAAUUUUCAUGGGAAACAGUUUUCUCAAUUUAGUAUGAUCAUUUUUCCAAGCAAACAGAACUUGAUUUGGCUUGUGGGUUUUAAUUUUCUCGACAACAUUGGUCAUGCACUUCUUUGAAAUCGAUUGUGAUUUUCUCCUGUUGUGCAAGUAAUGAUGGCACAGAAACGUUAUACUAAUAUAUAUAACCUGCAUAUAUGCAUUUUAUUUCCUGACAUUACACUAAUUAAAUUCAUGUAUUUGUUGACAAUGAGUUUAUUAAUUUCAAUUCUCUGAAAUAUGCAUGCAAAAGGAUAAAGGUUUUGUUUCACAACGUUGGUUAUAGUAGUCUCAAGUGUGCAACGGUUUUAAGAUUGGUGUGUAGGAAAAACCUAUCUUCUGAAAGGAUGCGUUUUUUAGUCUGGGUAGAUUUACCUUGCAUUUCGCAUAAGAUACUUAUCUUUGGCACUGAAUAUUAUGUUAAACGUUAUGUGCUACCAUUGGAAUGAUUGCAUUUAUAGUAAUGGCCUUUUAUUCAUGUAUGUUGUUCGAUCUCGGAUAUUGCUUAGAGAUUUAUACAUAUGAUGUUAUUAUAUUUGGCUGUUUGAAUGGUUGUGCUAGUACAUCGGUUGCAUUGCAAUGAAAGGUUGGCUGCCAACCCAAUGGGUAAUCACUGAAUGUUGUCAUUUCCUCAUGAACCGGUAUAAAGAUAGUGUGGCGAUGAGGAUGUGACCCUUUGGGUUUUCGUUGCUUUACAAAUUAUUAUGAUUUAAGAACACAACUUUUCUUGUUUUAAACAAAUGAACAGACAUGACUAUCCAAAGGUUAAAACAUUUGGUCUUUGGAAAGGAAAAGACUAGACAUUAAAACGUGGGAUAUUGGAGAAAAAAAAAAUGUAUUUGAAUUCGACAUAAUGAUGCUUAUUAAGUAAGCAUAUGAAUGGACAUGGCCAUUGGGUCAUGCAUGUUAAUCAUAGUAAGGAAAGAAUCAAAGCCAAGAAGUGAUUUUUCUCAUAAUUUAGUGAGGCAUGAAGGCCAAAAAAGAUAGAUAGAGUCUAUCUUAGUUGUCCCUUAUUUCUUAAAGUGAAAAAUGUGAUCGAUUUAAUGAUAGCAUUAAAAGAAACUACAAUUAUGAAAGAAUUGUGGGGGUUGGUAAAAGUAAUUUGCUAAUUGAACGACAUUCAAAAUGUCAUCUCUUGUAAUGAGUAAUUGUUUAAGGUAUGGCAAAGUUAGAGAUCUUCUUUCAAAUACCUUAAAUGUGGGGGAGUUUACCCAAGUGCUCAGUGUUAGCAAAUUACUUAGUAAUUAAGUCCUAAUUUUGAGGACUUGACAUUUCAAAUAAUGUCAAACAACUACUCUUGUAUGAAAUAUAAUUUCAUAAGAUGGAUUGUGUACACCAUCAAAGGUAGUCAACCUAAUAGUGGAUCCCAUUAUUAAAGGUUAGAUUAGAGAGUAAGUUGAUCAUCGAGGGGAAUGAGGCUAAAGCCAACAUAACUAAUGAAUCAGCCGAGCGGAAACCUAACUUAGUUGAUUGGAGAUCCCAUGGUCUAAGUUCAAUAGGCAAACUGGUUGGGCAUGAUUCAAAGAAGUUAACACACUAUAUAUACCUCAUUCCUAUGAUGGAAGAAGUGUGUUGUCUGCAGACGUUUUAGGUUGUAUAUUUAUACUUAAUGACAGUGAUAUCUUAUAAAUAAGAGGAAUAGAGCAGACUAUUCUUAAUCAGUGGUCACCUAUGUGAGAGUAGAAGUUGGUCGCUUCUAUGAGAAUGAGAUGGCUAAAUUCUCUAAAGCUCUCAUGAAUCCGGGAUUUGUUCAGGACCAAAAUGAACACAACCGUAUGAACCCUAAUAUAUUAGAAUAAGUGAUGUGUGUUACUUAUUGUCUCGGUUUACUACUGCGGUGAACAGUUCAAGAUUUUAUAUUCACUGCGUCACCAAGUAAAUCCGAUAAGUAUUCACUAGGGUAGGUUCAAGUCCAAAAGACACCUCUCCCGAUGCAUCUCUUGUCCGCCUGUACUCUCAAAUUCUUCUUGAUUUUUCAUUCAUGUGGGGGAUUGUUGGAAAUUAUAUAUUAUAGUAUAAACUAUUGUAAUAUAUAAUUUAAUAAUUGAAUGAAAAAUAGUGUUAACCAAUUUCUUAGAAAGGUUAUGUUGUUUAGAUGUAUUCCCUUGUUAAGUGAUGUAUACUUAUAGAUGAAAAGUUACAUCUCUUUAUUAGUUGAAGUUGGGUUCUAUAUAAACUCAUGAAACCAUUAUCAUUAAGAUAUAGAAAAAUUAGAGUUAAUUUUUACUCUUGAGAAAAUAGGGUUUCCCCACUUUGUUUGUCUCAUGCUUCGUGUGUCAAAUUCCGAGUCGUGUCUUGAGAGUACGAAAUAUAUAAAGUUCGCCAAAGUCCGAAGAUUGAAGUGCUUUGACUUCGGAUUAUAGAUUGUUGAAUUCUGGGAGAUGGACGCCUAUCGAACUACAAGCACAAGAGUAGGGGCGAAAUUCUAUCUUUAAGACAUUGCAUUUAUGCAAGCCUCAAUCUCCAAGUUUGUCAGUUUUUCUAUCUUUAUCUCUAGUUGUUUAUAUUAAUCUCAUAUAUAAUUGAUGUUGUGAAUUUCUUUAUGAUUAUUAUCAUUGGAAUUAUAUUGUUAUUUUUCAUAUUUUCUAAUAUUGCUCCAACAGGUAUUGGUGAUCUUGUUCUUCACUCCAGCAGUCUCGUCUUCCGCCGACACGUUCAAUAUACCAUUUGCAUCAAUGUCAAAGCAGACAUUGAUCUGAGGGACACCUCUUGGCGCCGGAGGAAUGAUACAACAGACAAUACACCAAUGGCGCUAGAUUCUGGUUCCAUGUAAGUACACAUCUAGAGGAUCCUCUUUGUAGGAUGCUAAAGAUCCUCAUCGUACAUCGUGCGGCCAAUUUCUGUAGGUAUUGUUUACCUUUAAUUUAAAUAAAAAAAAUUAAAAUGAUUUAUAACCUCAUGAUAUACGAUAAAUUGAUAGGAUGUAAAAAUCCAAAUGGGAUCCAAAUCUUACAUCUUAGUGCAUUUUUUGGAGCAAAUUACGUGGGUACCUCUUAAAACAUUUGGCAGUGGAACCACCACAAAUGAGUGGCUAUGACAGACCACCAUAAACCCUAAAUCCUAAUGAACAUGUAGCAAUCAAAUGAAAGUGUUAGAUAAGACUAAGCAACCAUUGCACCAAACAACUAAUCGAGCAAUAAACAUAAUAUGCCAGGAAAAGAAAGUUUACAUCAUUGUAAAUCUAGGACAUUAACAAAAACAUUGUAUAUUUGUAGGCAAUUAUUCAAGCAGUCACAAACAGAGAAGAAAUAACCAACUAAACCAAACACUUAAUUUCAGUCAACUUCCUCAAUCGUAGGCCCGGCUCCUGAUCCGCCACCGGACGUAGUGUUUCCAAAUCCGCUACCAGGCAUCUGAGCACCACCGCCCAUCGGCACGUUUCCGCCAGGACCCUGAUACAUUUUGGCAAUGAUCGGGUUGCACAAUCCCUCCAACUCCUUUUGCUUGUCCUCAAAUUCCUCCACCUCGGCCAACUGGUUCCGGUCUAGCCACUCGAUUGCCUCGUCAAUGGCCUUCUCAAUCUUCUGCUUGUCUGCAGGGUCUAAUUUUCCAGCAAUCUGCUCAUCCUUGAUGGUGUUCCGCAUGUUGUAUGCGUAGUUCUCAAGCGAGUUCUUGGCAUCCACCUUCUUCUUCACCUCCUCAUCUUCAGCCUUGUACCUCUCUGCCUCCUGCACCAUUCUCUCAAUCUCUUCCUUGCUCAGUCUUCCCUUGUCGUUGGUAAUAGUGAUCUUAUUCUUCACUCCAGCAGUCUUGUCUUCCGCCGACACAUUCAAGAUACCAUUUGCAUCAAUGUCAAAGCAGACAUUGAUCUGAGGGACGCCUCUUGGCGCCGGAGGAAUGCCCGUGAGUUCAAACUUGCCGAGGAGGUUGUUGUCCUUGGUUCUAGCCCUCUCUCCUUCAUACACCUGAAUUAACACUCCUGGCUGGUUGUCGGAGUAGGUAGAGAAGAUCUGCUCCUUCUUGGUAGGAAUGGUUGUGUUUCUCGGAAUCAAGACGGUCAUCACACCACCUGCAGUCUCAAGACCAAGGCUGAGAGGAGUGACAUCAAGAAGCAACAGAUCUUGGACCUUCUCAUUUCCUUCGCCGGUUAAAAUUGCAGCUUGAACAGCAGCACCAUAAGCCACGGCUUCGUCAGGGUUUAUGCUCUUGCACAAUUCCUUGCCAUUGAAGAAAUCUUGCAAAAGCUGCUGAACUUUGGGAAUUCUCGUCGACCCACCAACCAAAACAACCUCAUCAACUCGACUCUUGUCGAUUUUGGAAUCCCUCAAACACUUUUCAACAGGUUCCAUACACUUCCUGAACAAAUCCAUAUUCAUCUCUUCAAAUCUCGCCCUAGUAAUUGUAGAAUAGAAAUCAAUACCUUCAUAGAGCGAAUCGAUCUCAAUGGUGGUCUGAGCGGUGGAAGACAAGGUCCUUUUCGCUCUCUCGCACGCAGUCCUCAACCUCCUCAAAGCUCUGGCAUUGCUACUAAUAUCCUUCUUGUGCUUUCUCUUAAACUCUUGCACAAAGUGAUUAACAAGCCUGUUGUCAAAAUCCUCACCACCAAGAUGAGUAUCACCAGCAGUAGCCUUCACUUCGAAGAUCCCUUCCUCAAUUGUGAGCAAAGAAACAUCAAAAGUCCCACCACCAAGAUCGAAAAUAAGAACAUUCUUCUCGCCAGUACUGGAUCCCUUCUUGUCAAGACCGUAAGCAAUGGCAGCAGCAGUAGGCUCGUUGAUAAUCCUCAUCACAUUGAGCCCGGCAAUGGAGCCAGCAUCCUUUGUGGCCUGCCUCUGCGAGUCAUUGAAGUAAGCAGGUACAGUGACCACAGCGUUGUUGCAAGGGUGACCCAAAUAAGCCUCGGCAACCUCCCUCAUCUUAGUCAGCACCAUCGACGAUAUCUCUUCCGCCGCAAACUGCUUCUCUUCGCCUUUGUAAUUUACCACAAUCAUCGGCUUGUCGCCAGGACCAGCAACGACCUUGAAAGGCCAGUGCUUCAUGUCGCUCUGGACAGAAGGGUCGGAGAACCGCCUGCCGAUGAGUCUCUUGGCGUCAAAAACGGUGUUUUGGGGGUUCAUAGCGACCUGGUUCUUGGCUGCAUCGCCGAUCAAACGCUCCGUGUCGGUGAAGGCGACAUAGGAAGGGGUGGUCCUGUUUCCCUGGUCAUUGGCUAUGAUCUCAACGCGGUCGUUCUGCCACACCCCGACGCAGCUGUAGGUGGUGCCGAGGUCGAUGCCGAUAGCCUUGCCUUGCGUCUUUGCAGCCAUGGACAACAAAUCAGUGCGAAACUAUUGAAUAACUGGUUCGAGAAAA